UACGAAGGGGGCUAGCGUUGCUCGGAAUCACUGGGCGUAAAGCGCACGUAGGCGGCUUUUUAAGUCAGAGGUGAAAUCCUGGAGCUCAACUCCAGAACUGCCUUUGAUACUGGAGAGCUUGAGUCCGGGAGAGGUGAGUGGAACUGCGAGUGUAGAGGUGAAAUUCGUAGAUAUUCGCAAGAACACCGGUGGCGAAGGCGGCGACCUGGUCCUUGACUGACGCUGAGGCGCGAAAGCGUGGGGAGCAAACAGG
rnacentral:rRNA from 1 species